CCAAUAGCGUAUAUUAAAGUUGUUGCAGUUAAAAAGCUCGUAGUUGAACUUCAGGCCUGGCUGGACGGUCCGCCCUCUGGGUGAGUACUGUCUGUGGUCGGGUCCUACCUUCUGGCGAAGCGUCAUGGUCUUCAUCGGCUGUGGCGGGGAACCAGGACUUUUACUGUGAAAAAAUUAGAGGGUUCAAAGCAGGCAGUCGCUUGAAUACAAUAGCAAGGAAUAAUGGAAUAGGACAAUGGUUCUAUUUGUUGGUUUCUAGGACCGUUGUAAUGAUUAAUAGGGAUAGUUGGGGGCAUUAGUAUUCAAUUGUCAGAGGUGAAAUUCUUGGAUUUAUUGAAGACUGACUACUGCGAAAGCAUUUGCCAAGGAUGUUUUCAUUAAUCAAGAACGAAAGUUAGGGGAUCGAAGACGAUCAGAUACCGUCGUAGUCUUAACCAUAAACUAUGCCGACUAGGAAUCGGGCGAUGUUGACAAAAUGACGCGCUCGGCACCUCAUG
rnacentral:rRNA from 1 species